AGACCAUCGGAAAAACCGUGCAGAGAUAUGAAACCUCACCUUGCCAUGGCAAUGCAUAGAGAGGCAGAAUUUUGUUUGAGGAUGAAACGGUUGCGCCUCAUUCCAGAAACAACGCUAUCAGGAUGUGAGCCAACUUGUGUCUGAACUCGAGGCCACACUACUGCUCUUGCCAUGACUCCCUGGCCCUCAGGACCUCUUGUAGCGUGACUGGCGGAAGGGGAACGCAGAGCACCGCUUCAGUUACCUCCUACUGCUCCAUUCCCUGCGAUAGUGUUCCACCACCGCUGCCUCAGCCAAAAAUGAGAUGGUUUGCAAGUCCUGCUGAUCACGUGGGGAACCAAUCAUCCCAGUCCAAUGAAUGAUACCUGGAACUGGGUGUUCCCAAUCAAGGCGGAGGCCACUGGAAUGGUGGAAGGAGCAGAGCAAGAGCUUGACAAUGACCCAAAAACCAAGGGCAAGGGAAACAAGUGAAUGCCAAGAGGAACAGGAAUCAAUACUGCAUGGCGGUCACCGUUAGAGACAACCAUUUGGACCAAAAGCAGAAAUUGGUGAGCAGGCAACUGCUCCUUGCCCUCCAAAAAAGAAUGUGAAAGUGUAGAAUUUUGGGUUGAUCAGCAUCUUUUAUCCUACAGUAAAAGAUAAACAUUUCCGUGUUGCAGAUGAUAAAACAGCUGCAGAAAGGAUCUACUUGUUUUUACAGCAGUAAAGCUCUGUAAUCUAGACUUUUAACUUGUCAUGGGCAGGGAACGUGGCUACCAACUCUGCUGUAUUGUACUCUCCCAAGCACUUACUACAGUGUCCUGCACACAGUAAGGGCUCAAAAAAUACCAUUGAUUUAAUCAGGAGAAAAGAGUGGCAAGUUUUCAAGUCCAUAGAAAAAUGGGAAACUUUUUUCUGUAAACUUCACUGUGCAAAGCAGAAUUUGUAGAUAUUUCAAAUAUCUGAUGCCCACCAAAAGAACAAAAUAACAGUGGAAGCAACACAUUGGUUUUAGGAGAAAUCAAAUUACUGUUUUUUUAUUUGUCCCUAAAGGGGAGAGAGUACAUUUUAACCAUCCCCAAAAGUCACUCAUUCAGUAGCAUUUACUGAGCGCUUACCAUGUGCAGAGUAGUAUACUAAGCACUUGGGAGAAUACAAUAUAGCAGACAACUAGAAAUUGUCCCAACUAGACUCUGCUAACAGCCAGUACCAAGGUACACACUGGGAGUCCUAAGAGGACUAAGACCCAAGUUAGAGGGGAUGGUAAAUAUUUUUAUUUAUCUGGAAGGCUUGUAUCAGCAUCAAUCAAACCAAUGUUCAAAAGCCCUCUCACAGUAAUAGUGGGUUGGUUGUUUGAGUUGAAGACAUUGCUGACAGGCUUCAUCUGUGAAUGCGAAUGUCUAUGAGAGAGAAUCUUUUCCCAGGAAAUAAAUGAAUCAUAACUACCACUCAAGGUCCAUCAGGGCAAGAGAAGUUGGGAAAUCAUCUCAUGCAACUUCAGAAAUAGCUCCUGGUCACCUCGCCUGGGGUGAUUUUGCCAAGUGAGAGCCAGAGCCUGAUUUC
rnacentral:lncRNA from 1 species